rnacentral:rRNA from 1 species
AGUUUGAUCCUGGCUCAGGAUGAACGCUGGCGGCGUGCUUAACACAUGCAAGUCGAACGAUGAUCUCCAGCUUGCUGGGGGGAUUAGUGGCGAACGGGUGAGUAACACGUGAGUAACCUGCCCUUGACUCUGGGAUAAGCCUGGGAAACUGGGUCUAAUACCGGAUACGACCGUCUGGCGCAUGCCAUGGUGGUGGAAAGCUUUUGCGGUUUUGGAUGGACUCGCGGCCUAUCAGCUUGUUGGUGGGGUAAUGGCCUACCAAGGCGACGACGGGUAGCCGGCCUGAGAGGGUGACCGGCCACACUGGGACUGAGACACGGCCCAGACUCCUACGGGAGGCAGCAGUGGGGAAUAUUGCACAAUGGGCGCAAGCCUGAUGCAGCGACGCCGCGUGAGGGAUGACGGCCUUCGGGUUGUAAACCUCUUUCAGUAGGGAAGAAGCCGCAAGGUGACGGUACCUGCAGAAGAAGCGCCGGCUAACUACGUGCCAGCAGCCGCGGUAAUACGUAGGGCGCAAGCGUUAUCCGGAAUUAUUGGGCGUAAAGAGCUCGUAGGCGGUUUGUCGCGUCUGCUGUGAAAGACCGGGGCUCAACUCCGGUUCUGCAGUGGGUACGGGCAGACUAGAGUGAUGUAGGGGAGACUGGAAUUCCUGGUGUAGCGGUGAAAUGCGCAGAUAUCAGGAGGAACACCGAUGGCGAAGGCAGGUCUCUGGGCAUUAACUGACGCUGAGGAGCGAAAGCAUGGGGAGCGAACAGGAUUAGAUACCCUGGUAGUCCAUGCCGUAAACGUUGGGCACUAGGUGUGGGGGACAUUCCACGUUUUCCGCGCCGUAGCUAACGCAUUAAGUGCCCCGCCUGGGGAGUACGGCCGCAAGGCUAAAACUCAAAGGAAUUGACGG